rnacentral:tRNA from 1 species
CGGGGCGUAGCUCAGCCUGGCUAGAGCGCCUGCUUUGGGAGCAGGAGGCCGCAGGUUCAAAUCCUGUCGCCCCGA